GACAGCUCAGUUUGUAGAGCUUGAGACUCUUAAUUUCAGGAUUGGGGGUUCAAGCCCCACGUUGGGCA